UGAAAACUCAGUUUGCAAACCAUAGUUUGAUCUGGAUUUCCAACUGUGGUGAGUUUUUCUGGGGGGAGAGGGGAAAAGCUAACCACUAUUUACUGGUUCAGAUGAAACAGCAAACUAUGGUUUGAAUAGCUCAGUUGGUUAGAGCGUUGUGCUGAUAACUCCAAGGUUGCAGGUUUGAUCCCUGUAUUGGACAACUGCAUAUUUCUGCAUUGCAGCAAGUUGAGUUAGAUGCUUAUGAGGGUCCCUUCCAACUAUAUGAUUCUAUGAUCAAUGAUAUAAGUUUGCCUUAAACCAGAAAGGGGGAGCAGGGGGCAGGGUUUGGAAUAAAAAGAAGAGGGUCUUCAGUCCUUCAAGGCGUGUUCACAUGGCAGCAAAAAGUGGUUUGGCAUCAUAGCUGAACAGCCACUCCAACUCAUUUAAUACGCAUUUGUAUGCAGUUUUCCACUUUCUAGAUCAGGAAUUGCAGUCAUAAAUCAGUCAUUUUUGCAUAUCUAAGUACUGAUGCCAUUUCCCCUGCACUGAGUGAUUCCAGUGCAAUCCACACACCUACUUUUCCAAGCACAAUUCAUAGUGUUGGUGUUGACCUUUAAAGCCCUAAAUGGCCUCGGCCCAGUAUACCUGAAGGAACGUCUCCACCCCCAUCGUCCUGCCCGGACACUGAGGUCCAGCACUGAGGGCCUUCUGGCGGUUCCCUCACUGCGAGAAGCCAAGUUACAGGGAACCAGGCAGAGGGCCUUCUCGGUAGUGGCACCCACGCUGUGGCACACCCUCCCACCAGGUGUCAAAGAGAAAAACAACUAUCAGACUUUUAGAAGACAUCUGAAGGCAGCCCUGUUUAGGGAAUCUUUUAAUGUUUAACAGACUAUUGUAUUUUAAUAUUUUGUUGGAAGCUGCCCAGAGUGGCUGAGGAAACCCAGCCGAUGAGCGGGGUAUAAAUUAUUAUUAUUAUUAUUAUUAUUAUUAUUAUUAUUAUUAUUACUUUCUGAGGCAACUAGCCCUAUCUUUCUUGAAGCACCAGUAGAGCUAUGCUGGGUCGUAAUGGUAGAAAGUUGAAAUGUGGAGUUCAACUUGUUCAGCUCAUGAGUAAGCAUUGCCAACUUUGUGUGUGUGCAGACAGCAGUUUGUCACCUUUGAAAAGCAAUGGUGGGCAAUGCUCCGAUGGAGGCUCUCUGCCUAUAAGAAAUGCCUUUUACCAGAUACAGCUGGUACAACAGCUAUAGCUGUUCCAGGACAAGGAUAGUCUGGCCACGGUGAUCCAUGCAUUGAUAACCUCAACACAUGACCUAGUGGUGCAGCAAUAGAACUGCUGGCACAUUGGCAAAGCUAAGCAAGGUCUAGUACGGUUUCAAACUGGAUGGAGGGGCCAUGUGUUGAGAUUCCUGUCUUGCAGGGGGUUGGACGGGAUGAACCUCAGGGUCCCUUCCCACUCUACAAUUCUAUGAUUGCAAUGUGCGCUGUGUGGAGCUAGCCUUGGCCCUGGUCCAGAGGCUUCAGCUGGGGCAAAACAUUGUGGCUGGACUAUUGAUGGGGACAGAUUAUCACCAGCACACAACCCCAUUGCUCAAAAGUCUGUGCUGGUUGUCUAUACACUACCAGGCCAGGUUCAAGUUUAGUGUAUUAAUUUAUAAGGCCCUUAAUAAUUUGGGUCCAGGAUUUGUUGUUGUUUAGUCGUUUAGUCGUGUCCAACUCUUCGUGACCCCAUGGACCAGAGCACGCCAGGCACUCCUGUCUUCCACUGCCUCCCGCAGUUUGGUCAAACUCAUGCUGGUAGCUUCAAGAACACUGUCCAACCAUCUCGUCCUCUGUCAUCCCCUUCUCCUUGUGCCCUCCAUCUUUCCCAACAUCAGGGUCUUUUCCAGGGAGUCUUCUCUUCUCAUGAGGUGACCAAAGUAUUGGAGCCUCAGCUUCAGGAUCUGUCCUUCCAGUGAGCACUCAGGGCUGAUUUCCUUAAGAAUGGAGAGGUUUGGUCUUCUUGCAGUCCAUGGGACUCUCAAGAGCCUCCUCCAGCACCAUAAUUCAAAAGCAUCAAUUCUUCGGCGAUCAGCCUUCUUUAUGGUCCAGCUCUCUGAGAGCUGGGUCCAGGAUACAGUCCCUUAUAUCCCUUCCUGAUAACUAAGGUCAUCAGAGGAGGCUGUGUGUAGUAUUGUGAGUCCAAUUAUGUGGCACUCCUUUCCUGUUGAGGCUCCAUCUCUACUGAAAUUCCAGUGCCUACUGAAGCCUUUUAAAAAAAAUAUUGCAGCAGGCAUUUUAGGUUUGAUUGCAUGGUUUUAACCUACUUUUAUCUUUUGUACUGUAUCUCUGCAAACCACUUAAGAGACUAUCAUACCUUGAAGUAGAUCACAGCGCUUCUUUACAUAUUAAAAAGCAACAACCCAAAACUCUUAACCCCAGCUACUUUACAGAUAAAAAAGCCAAACCUCUACCCCCAAGAAGGUGGAUUUGCUGAACCAAGCAGAGACAGACAAAGACUGGCUUGAAGAACACAUUCCUUUCUUAGUCAGAUUGCUGGCUAAUAGCCCAGGAUCUUUGGUUGAUAUUUCAACUGUGAGAGCUAAUGAUUAGGAGAUGGCCUCCUCAAGAAUGAGGAAAUCUCCCUGUUUCCAAAUGAAAUACUCACCUGAGCUUGGAGUAGCACUGACCCAAGACAUUUUGCUGCUGAGGAACAGGGCAAGAUGGUGUCCUUUCCUCAAUUCUGUGUACUGAAGCCAACCGGACUUGCAGAUGAAUAUUGCUUCAAUGGUGGCAACAGGACAGCCUCCCCUAGGCUAGUUUAGGGGCAGCAGGGCAGGGUGUGUGGUGCCUCCAAUGAACAGGCAUGGUCAAGGGACUCUGGAAGAAGGGACACACAUCUUCUCCCCUGAGGCCACCACCUCUCUUUGCAUAAUGGUAGGGCCAGGAUUGACCCUAUACCCAUCCUUCAGAGGGGAGGGGUCAGUUGUGUAAUGAGAAACAGCACUGGGCAGUUUUGAAAGCCCAGAGGCAGGGAGAGAUGUCAGUCGGCGAAAGGUGACUAUUACAUCACUUUAAACAGUUGUGCUUCUCCCAGAGGAUCCUGGGAUGUGAAAGGUGAUAUAGAAAAAAUAGGGGUGGUUGGCUUUUGCUGCCCAACUCCCCAAGGGACUGAAUCCCCCAUGAUCGGUCAGAGAUGAAUGGAUGGAGACAAGAUGCAGUGAAAACAAGGCAGAUCUUUAUUUUUCUGUUGCAACAGAGUUCCCUCGCCUUCUUGCAAGGAGGCAAGAGAGACCCAGAACCAGGAAGAAACAUCUCUUUUAAAGGUUUGCAUUUUGGCGUGGAGAGGAAGCACAUCCCCUCUAUAACAAAGGACCCCAUGGUGGUUAAAUCCAGUCAAAGGCGACUAUAGAGUGUGGUGCUCAUUUCGCUUUUCAGGCCGAGAGAGCCGGCGUUUGUCCACAGACAGCUUUCCAGGUCAUGUGGCCAACAUGACUAAAUGGCCAUUGAUGCACAGAGGAUGAGUGCCAGAGUGCACGGAAACGCUGUUUACCUUCCCGCUGCAGCGGGAUCUAUUUAUCUACUUGCGCUGGUGUGCUUUCGAACUGCUAGGUUGGCAGAAGCUGGGACAGAGCAACGGGAGCUCACCCCAUCACAUGUAUUCGAAUCGCCGACCUUCUGAUCAGCGAGCCCAAGAAGCUCAGUGGUUUAGACCACAGCACCACCUGCGUCCCAGAUGCUAGGAACUGUAGUUUGGUAAGGGUCCUGAGAGUUGCUAGGAGACGCCAAUUCUCCUCACAGAGCUACAAUUUCCAGAGUUCCCAGAGAGAAG